UAAACGAAGGAACGAAUAGAAAAAAAAGUGCAGUUGAACAGUUUGGCUUCUAAGAGGUUUAUACGUGAGAGAGAUUCAAGGUUCUACGUUCUACAAUUCACAGAUUACAAAAAUCGAGACUCAUCAGCCCAUAAAUCCUGUUGGCGCCGCAGCAUCGAGCUACGGCACCGUCGAUCGACGUAUAAACGAAUUUUCAAGAGAACGUUCAAAACGACGACGAUGUGAUUAAUCGUCGGGGGGAUACGCGUGGAUUAAUUAGCGCAUCCGAUGAGCGACAGCUCGUCGAGUGCUAAGAGAAGCGUGUGUGCUCAGAGGUGUUAUUAAUUGAUCACGGACAGCCGCUAAUUGUGACUCUAUCGUGGCUGAAAGCGAUCCGAGCACGCGCGUUUUCGGUGAUUUACGAGUAACCGCGGUUUCACGAACACCGCCGAAAAUUCGUCUGGCGCUUCGUAGUCUGCUCGCUUUGUCGUUUCGUCGGCCACGAGCGCACGCUCUCUCAUCCUUCACCUUCUUUCCUCGAUUUCGUUCCUACGCUUGAUUGCGGGUGACAGGUGAAACGUUUCUCCGAUGAGAUAGCCAUCGUUGACGAUGUUCGAACGCUUAGUAGUUAUAGAUACUAUCGCUGAUAAGAAACAGGAAUAGCUUGAAAACGACUGCGUGAAUACGCUCGAUGGCGUUCUCCUAAAAGUGAGAGCUUGAGGAGGCUGGGACUA
rnacentral:misc_RNA from 1 species